rnacentral:rRNA from 1 species
GUAGGGUGCGAGCGUUAAUCGGAAUUACUGGGCGUAAAGCGUGCGCAGGCGGUUUUGUAAGUCAGAUGUGAAAUCCCCGAGCUCAACUUGGGAACUGCGUUUGAAACUACAAGACUAGAAUAGGUCAGAGGGGGGUAGAGUUCCACGUGUAGCAGUGAAAUGCGUAGAGAUGUGGAGGAAUAUCAAUGGCGAAGGCAGCCCCCUGGGAUCAUAUUGACGCUCAUGCACGAAAGCGUAGGGAGCAAACAGGAUUAGAUACCCUGGUAGUCCACGCCCUAAACGAUGUCAACUAGUUGUUGGUAGAGUAAAAUCUAUGAGUAACGCAGCUAACGCGUGAAGUUGACCGCCUGGGGAGUACGAUCGCAAGAUUA